rnacentral:rRNA from 1 species
UGGGGAAUAUUGCACAAUGGAGGGAACUCUGAUGCAGCAACGCCGCGUGCGGGAUGACGGCCUUCGGGUUGUAAACCGCUUUCAGCCAUGACGAAGCUUUUGUGACGGUAGUGGUAGAAGAAGCACCGGCUAACUACGUGCCAGCAGCCGCGGUGAUACGUAGGGUGCGAGCGUUGUCCGGAAUUAUUGGGCGUAAAGAGCUUGUAGGCGGUUUGUCGCGUCGAUAGUGUAAACACGCAGCUUAACUGUGUGCCCGCUGUCGAUACGGGCUGACUAGAGGAGGGUAGGGGAGAAUGGAAUUCCCGGUGGAGCGGUGGAAUGCGCAGAUAUCGGGAGGAACACCAGUGGCGAAGGCGGUUCUCUGGACCUUUCCUGACGCUGAGAAGCGAAAGCGUGGGUAGCAAACAGG